AGUGCUGUCAGAGAAGACCAGAGUCAUCAAAGCCCAACAAUGAUCAGCAAAGAAUGGAUCACAUUUCAGUAUGUCCAUUGGCCAGCUCCCUUUGGAGCGUUUAGAGAAGGCUCAUGAGAAGCUCAGUGAUGUUGGAAGAAGAGUAGGCCCAGACUGAGACUUUGCUUGGAGAAGCUGCUGUGAUUCCCUCCACUAUGGAAAGUUGCUGUCCUUAGGCUGUGGCCUCUCCAAGAGGAGACUGUAUUUUGUAUUUGCAGUUCUCUGAAUUUCUCUUAUGAAUCUUCCAAAAUAGCCUCAGAAUAGUUCAUUUCUACCAGUCCAUUCCCACAGUAAGCUCAAUUGUACUUUGACCUUGUUUCUUCUCACCUUGAGGUCUUGGCUCCAUUCAGUGAAGAAUAAAAGUAAAAAAGCCC
rnacentral:lncRNA from 1 species